rnacentral:rRNA from 1 species
CAGCAGUGGGGAAUAUUGCACAAUGGGCGCAAGCCUGAUGCAGCCAUGCCGCGUGUAUGAAGAAGGCCUUCGGGUUGUAAAGUACUUUCAGCAGUGAGGAAGGAGGUAUCGUUAAUAGCGGUAUCUUUUGACGUUAGCUGCAGAAGAAGCACCGGCUAACUCCGUGCCAGCAGCCGCGGUAAUACGGAGGGUGCGAGCGUUAAUCGGAAUUACUGGGCGUAAAGCGCAUGCAGGUGGUUUGUUAAGUCAGAUGUGAAAGCCCGGGGCUCAACCUCGGAAUUGCAUUUGAAACUGGCAGGCUAGAGUACUGUAGAGGGGGGUAGAAUUUCAGGUGUAGCGGUGAAAUGCGUAGAGAUCUGAAGGAAUACCGGUGGCGAAGGCGGCCCCCUGGACAGAUACUGACACUCAGAUGCGAAAGCGUGGGGAGCAAACAGGAUUAGAUACCCUGGUAGUCCACGCCGUAAACGAUGUCUACUUGGAGGUUGUGGCCUUGAGCCGUGGCUUUCGGAGCUAACGCGUUAAGUAGACCGCCUGGGGAGUACGGUCGCAAGAUUAAAACUCAAAUGAAUUGACGGGGGCCCGCACAAGCGGUGGAGCAUGUGGUUUAAUUCGAUGCAACGCGAAGAACCUUACCUACUCUUGACAUCCAGAGAACUUAGCAGAGAUGCUUUGGUGCCUUCGGGAACU